UACGUAGGGGGCAAGCGUUGUCCGGAUUUAUUGGGCGUAAAGGGCGUGUAGGCGGCCGUACAGGUCAGCUGUGAAAACUCGAGGCUCAACCUCGAGACGUCGGUUGAAACCGUACGGCUAGAGUCCGGAAGAGGAGAGUGGAAUUCCCGGUGUAGCGGUGAAAUGCGCAGAUAUCGGGAAGAACACCCGUGGCGAAGGCGGCUCUCUGGGACGGUACUGACGCUGAGACGCGAAAGCGUGGGGAGCGAACAGG
rnacentral:rRNA from 1 species